UACGUAGGGGGCAAGCGUUGUCCGGAAUCAUUGGGCGUAAAGCGCGUGUAGGCGGUUCGGUAAGUCUGCUGUGAAAGUCCAGGGCUCAACCCUGGGAUGCCGGUGGAUACUGUCGGACUAGAGUACGGAAGAGGCGAGUGGAAUUCCCGGUGUAGCGGUGAAAUGCGUAGAUAUCUGGAGGAACACCGGUGGCGAAGGCGGCAUCCUGGACCGGCAUUGACGCUGAGGCGCGAAAGCUAGGGGAGCAAACGGG
rnacentral:rRNA from 1 species